ACUUUCUGAAAUGUUGACCUCGGAUCAGGUAGGAAUACCCGCUGAACUUAAGCAUAUCAAUAAGCGGAGGAAAAGAAACCAACAGGGAUUGCCCCAGUAACGGCGAGUGAAGCGGCAACAGCUCAAAUUUGAAAUCUGGUCCCUAGGGCCCGAGUUGUAAUUUGUAGAGGAUGCUUUUGGUGAGGUGCCGCCCGAGUUCCCUGGAACGGGACGCCACAGAGGGUGAGAGCCCCGUCUGGCUGGCCGCCGAGCCUCUGUAAAGCUCCUUCGACGAGUCGAGUAGUUUGGGAAUGCUGCUCAAAAUGGGAGGUAUAUGUCUUCUAAAGCUAAAUAUUGGCCAGAGACCGAUAGCGCACAAGUAGAGUGAUCGAAAGAUGAAAAGCACCUUGAAAAGAGGGUUAAAUAGUACGUGAAAUUGUUGAAAGGGAAGCGCUUGUGACCAGACUUGGGCGCGGCGGAUCAUCCGGGGUUCUCUCCGGUGCACUUCGCCGCGUCUAGGCCAGCAUCAGUUCGUCGCGGGGGAAAAAGGCUUCGGGAACGUGGCUCCUCCGGGAGUGUUAUAGCCCGUUGCAUAAUACCCUGCGGUGGACUGAGGACCGCGCAUCUGCAAGGAUGCUGGCGUAAUGGUCACCAGCGACCCGUCUUGAAACACGGACCAAGGAGUCGUCUUCGUAUGCGAGUGUUCGGGUGUCAAACCCCUACGCGUAAUGAAAGUGAACGCAGGUGAGAGCUUCGGCGCAUCAUCGACCGAUCCUGAUGUUCUCGGAUGGAUUUGAGUAAGAGCAUACGGGGCCGGACCCGAAAGAAGGUGAACUAUGCCUGUAUAGGGUGAAGCCAGAGGAAACUCUGGUGGAGGCUCGCAGCGGUUCUGACGUGCAAAUCGAUCGUCAAAUAUGGGCAUGGGGGCGAAAGACUAAUCGAA
rnacentral:rRNA from 1 species